CUGAAUAUAAAAUUUUCAUUAUUUGUAUUGCGCUUUUGCGCUGACCUAUUUUGACACCUGGUCUUGUGCGCAGCAGGAGACAUUUACUGAUCGAUGAUAGCCGGACGCGUGUACUAAAAUUAUUAUUGCAUUGUUUUCGUACUUAAGGAAGAACAAGUUGUUGUCGUAGUCAGUUCAUAAUAUGCCACUUGCACUGGCAUUUGUCAGAAAGCAUUGUAGACAGAUUUAGCAUACUGUGUAGUACUCAUACUUUUGUUUACUAUCCGCAUUCCAUCAGCAAUGUCUACACCAUACAACACGACGCUUGUGCUUUCCAAUGUCGAAAUUGGAGUAAUGGUAUCAGUGAAUGUCUUAUUCAGCGUCGGUGGUACAAUAGGCAACCUCUGCGUAUGCUUCGCAUUCCUGCUGUACCGACAUCUACGCAACAAUAUGAAUAUCUUCAUCUUCAGUUUAGCGUGUUCUGACCUGCUUGUGUGUAUGGUAGCUCAGCCAAUGUUUAUUUACAAACUGCUGCAGAACCUCCCUCAGGAACAUACUACUACAUUGUUGGAAGAUAUCCGUAAACGGCUAACAUGGGUCUCACUGUUAGCCUCAAUUGGAAACCUUGUCGGCGUUACGUUGGAUCGUUAUUGUAUCAUCUCCAAUCCAUUGCGGUAUGCUGCGCGAGUCACGACAAAAUCUGCCUGUGUGCUUGUAGCUGUGAUAUGGAUAAUUGCCUCAGUGCUAGGGAUAAUAACAGAGUCUUACAGAGAGGCUAAAGUCAUAGGACAAAUACUCGUGGUGGUUCUACUGGCUGGGAUGAUCAUACCACUAUAUUGUCGGAUUUUAUGCAUCGCCAGAAGGCAUGCACGCGUGAUUCACACGGCUUCCCUCUCUCAUGUGCAGGAUAACAUGCACACACUUAGUGUUCAGCGUUCGCGCGGUUCAACUGUACAACAAGCAGACAGGAACAGCCUAAAGACACUGGGAAUUAUCUCCAGUAUCUUUCUCAUUGGAUGGUUUCCGCUUCUGAUAUUGCCAUUCAUAUACAGAGCUGGGAUUCAUGACCGCGAUGUGUUGCUGCAAAUAUUGCAAUGGGCGAACACGCUAGCUCUGUGCUCGUCAGCCUGCAAUCCACUAGUCUAUUCUUGGAGAGACAAACGAUUUCGUAAAGCUUUGACUGUGACUUACGGAAGAUGGAAGUCCAGACGUUCAAUUUCUAUGACUGACUCUCAUACAGGCUGCACAGAAAAAUUUGAAAUGAACACAUUUGUGUGCUCAUUCGGCAAAAAUCAACCUGGGCCUUUAACAGCCUGUGCACCGUCUUAAAUUUGGGUUUUAGCAAAUCUAAUUUUGGCGUUUCAUUAGUCACAUAUCUUUAGUGACAACUGAUGAUUAUAUAUUCAUGUUCACAAAAUUUGCGAUUUAAUCAAUUUAAUGAGACUUUGGACACGUGUGAUAUAUAAUAUACGUAUAUUCACUAACAUUAAUCAGUACUUUCUGUUUGUAUAUAUUUACUGGGAAAUUAAUUACGUUAAAUGAAAAACAGACCGCGCCAUAAGUACAUUUCUUUAUAAUAACAUUGCUAGUAUUGCAUAAUUUGCAUUAAACCUGAUUGAAGAUAAAUUUUGCGCAACAUAUCAUGCCGUACGCUUUCUUCGUUUACUCUUCAUAAUUUUAAAAAUGCUAAAUUCCAAAAGCUUUAAAAAUCACUCCAGUUAAUACUGCGCAACUUGGUAACUUUGAAAUACAAUAUCAGAAGUUUAAUGUUUAUAGCGCUUCGAUUACAAGGUUUCAUCACUGAUCUGUACUAUAGAAGAUCAGUGGGUUUCAUCGGGCCUGGUUUCAUUGAUAUCAUUGCAUGUAUCCCAGUAGCUUGCACAACUUAAUGCUGAGGUGCAGAGUUUCUUAUGUUUGUUGACAUAAGCAAACAAAUUGCUUGUAAAUUUUUGCUGUAAAAACGUAUAAUAAUACCUGUGUAUAAAAUUUGUAUCAAUUAUAAAAUUCACA
rnacentral:lncRNA from 1 species